GAUAAACGCUGGCGGCGUGCAUGAGACAUGCAAGUCGAACGAAGGAUCGGGCUUGCUCGAUCCUUAGUGGCGGACGGCUGAGUAACGCGUAGGUGACCUACCCCGAAGUGGGGAAUAACUGCCCGAAAGGGUGGCUAAUACCGCAUGUGGUCGCACGUUCAUUCGUGCGAGUAAAGCCGCAAGGCGCUUCGGGAGGGGCCUGCGUCCGAUUAGCUCGUUGGUGGGGUAAUGGCUUACCAAGGCGACGAUCGGUAGGUGGUCUGGGAGGACGAUCACCCGGACUGGGACUGAGACACGGCCCAGACUCCUACGGGAGGCAGCAGUCGGGAAUUUUGCUCAAUGGGGGAAACCCUGAGGCAGCAACGCCGCGUGAGGGAUGAAGGCCUUCGGGUUGUAAACCUCUUUUGUCAGGGACGAUGAUGACGGUACCUGGCGAAUAAGCCACGGCUAACUCCGUG
rnacentral:rRNA from 1 species